rnacentral:rRNA from 1 species
UACGGAGGGGAGCUAGCGUUGUUCGGAAUUACUGGGCGUAAAGCGUGCGCAGGCGGUCUGUUAAGACCGGAUGUGAAAUCCCCGGGCUUACCUCGGGAACUGCAUUGGUGUACUGGCAGGCUUUGAGUGUGGCAGGAGGGAGGUUGAGAAUUCCACGUAGUAAGCAGUGAAAUGCGUAGAGAAUGUGGAGGAAUACCGAUGGCGAAG